GCCUGUCCGAGCGUCAUUUCAACGAUCAAGCGCUGCUUGGUGUUGGGCGAGUCCCCGUGACCCGCCUAGAACCCACGGCGGUACCGUCCGGCUUCUAAGCGUAGCAAAACUUUCGCUUCGGAGGCCUAUGGCGGCGCUAGCCACCCGUAGACUUUAACCAGUUUGACCUCGGAUCAGGCGGGGAUACCCGCUGAACUUAA
rnacentral:misc_RNA from 1 species